rnacentral:tRNA from 1 species
GCCGAGGUCGCUUAGUCUGGUAGAGCGCAGGCCUGGAAAGCCUGUGCCCGCAAGGGCUCGUGAGUUCAAAGUUCUGAAAAUCUCACCCUCGGCGCCA